AACUAAAGGACUUUCCUGAGGAAUUGCUACCAAGUAAUCAUGAAGUAGAAAUCGAUGCACCUUUCGAUUUUCAAGUGUUCCAGCAAGUGAGAGCUGAACUUAUGGAGCUUCUGAAUGGGAUUCGGGCUUCCAAUAGUACUGAAGUGCCAGGCACUGAAUCUGAAUGGAAGAAAAGGCAUUUUGUUGCGCAUGCUGACCGGAAGCAAAGACAAGAGGAAAGUUGGGAGGAGGUGCAGGAGCCAGUAUUGAGGUCAAUACUUAGGUAAAUGGGAAAACAUAGUUCAUCAUGUGCAGUUUGUGUCUCAUGUGCGUCGUCAGCUGUUAUCAGAUGCUUCAAAGAGUCGGGCUUCUCUACGAAAGCGUCAUGAAAAGGAG